rnacentral:tRNA from 1 species
GGGGAUAUAGCUCAGUUGGUAGAGUGCUUGCCUAGCAUGCUCAAGGCCCUGGGUUCAAUCCCCAGUACCACCA